rnacentral:ncRNA from 1 species
CCUUAUCAAGAGUGGUGGAGGGAACCGGCCCGUUGAAACCCAGCAACCUGUUUUUUCAAGGUGCUAAAUCCGGCGGAUUAUCCGAAAGAUGAGG